rnacentral:rRNA from 1 species
UACAUGGGGUGCAAACGUUGCUCGGAAUUAUUGGGCGUAAAGCGCACGUAGGUGGUCUGUUAUGUCAGAUGUGAAAGCCCUCGGCUUAACUGAGGAAGUGCACCUGAAACUGGCAGGCUUGGGUACGAAAGAGGGUCGCGGAAUUCCCGGUGUAGAGGUGAAAUUCGUAGAUAUCGGGAGGAACACCGGUGGCGAAGGCGGAUCUCUGGGCCAUUACUGACGCUGAGGAGCGAAAGCGUGGGGAGCGAACAGG